GACAAUUUCUCUCGCCUUGGAUCUGAAACCAGUAGUAACCACCAACUUCAAUCAGUUAUUAUGACUAACAAUUGAAAUAGGAAUCUGACAUUCCCGCCGAGGAGGGCAUGCUAGCUAGCUACCGUGUUUUGAUUCAUAUCAGGCAUUUUCUUAUGAAACAGCUCAACUAGCUCGACUCGGGAGCUCAUCAUGCCAGGGGACAUACUGUAGGCUUCCGGAGCCAGCUAGUUAUUAUUCCACCAUGGGCAACAACAACUAGUUACCAGUUCGUUUAACUAAAUAUGUUCCAACUCAUAGCUAGUUUAUCCAGUGACCACCGCAUUUAGAAAGAUAGCAACUGACUGAACUCUAGCAAGCUGGCUAGCUAGCAUGCUAGCUCACACUGGCCAUGUAGUAGCCAAUACCAGACCGGUUGUGGAAAGGUAAAAAUAACUAUUAGUUUGCUCGUUUUUUGAAUGAUCGGACAGUGAAACUAAAAUAGAUUGUUAGCUAGCUGGUGAGGGUUUCAUUUAUUUAUUUAUUGUCACAUUUAUCCAAUAAACCCUAUUUUCAUAACAUUACCGAGAGAAUUAAGGAAGAAUAUCUACGUAACUAACGACGUAAUUAUCAAAAUUCGGUUUUCCUUCAAAAUAAUAAUUAUUGCGAGCUAGCGUGACUUAAUAAACUAAUCUGAAUAAACUACACUCGCCAGAUAAUGUUCCAUUAAUAGAUGUCUAUUUAACUCGUUUGACUGCUAUGAUUAAGCAAUAAGGCCCGAGAAGAUGUGGUAAAGGGCCUAUAUACCUUGGCAAAGGGCUGUUCUUAGAGCGCCUGGACACAGACCUUGUAUAUUGGCCAUAUAUCACAAACCCCCGAGGUGACUUAUUGCUAUUAUAAACGGGUUACCAACGUAAUUAGAGCAGUAAAAAUAAAUGCUUAGUCAUACCCGUGGUAUACGGCUGUCAGCCAAUCAGCAUUCAGGGAUCGAACCACCCAGUUUAUAAUUGUAAAUAAAUCCCUUUUGGCAUGUGCAUAACAAAAUGCGACAGGAGAGUUUAAGUGAUGAAUGUUGGACAGAGGUUCUCGAAAUCUGCGCAGACAUACUUGGAUGAACUUUUUUUUUUAAUAAGGCAAUUGUGCCUUAUUAUGUCCCAAAUGUUAAGACUACAACCCGUUAUAAAUUGCCUAUUUGAACGAUUGACUUGUCAAGAUGGCCCCACCACAGUCUGAAACGGACACACAGACACUUGGCUAAGCCCUGACCUCAGUUUGUAGCCAGGCUUUACUGGGACUUUUAAUCCUAUUUCACUGUCAACUCAGCCUACAACAGCAUUAGGACAUGGUGGCAAUCAUUCUGGAAAUGAUUGAUCUUAUCUUGUGUCUGAAUGACCAAAACAUUUCUCUCUCCUAGGCUAAAUGAUAAACACUAGGCCUACUGUAAAACCCUUCAUGUUAACUUUACAUGACACCUUCCAUUGCUUUUUGACCAUCCCUGAAGGAAUUAGGCCUACAAUUGCAAGAUCAUACAAAGGUUAUUGGUAUUGCUCUGUUGAUAUUCAUCUGUGUGGGACUCAUAGUGUACGUGAUCAGAGAGAGCUGCCAGCAGGAAGAGGAACUCCAGGAAGUCAACAACACUUAUGAGAUGUAUGAGAUGACAUGACUUCGACAACAUCAUUAAGCCAAAACCAGUUUUUUGAAGCUAUGGGAGAGAAUUCAUAAUGUUUUCUCUUUCAAAUGCCUCAAGACUGCAAGACCUUGUCUCUCCAGCAACUUCUAAAGGGAAGGGAACACUGCCGGUACCUCCCUCUCCAACCAAGGAGCAUGAACAGAGGUGCAAACAGAGGAAAGGAGGAAAUUCACCAACUCUUGGCGAUAGAAAUACUUGUUCUUGUUAAAACCAACACGUUUUGGCCUGUAGCCUUCUUCAGGGUCCAGUGACUUUUACCUUUCCUGCAAACUGUACAUGAAUGUUAUACUUUUGAAAAUGAUACUUUUCUGAUGAACAGUUUUUUAAAGUAGCCGGAGGGUGGGGGUAUUUUUGUUGGUCUAUCUGCGCUUUAGAAAUGUUCUCUGUAGGUGUCAAUGUGUCCCAAUUUUUAUAAAUAUUAAAAUGUGUUAAGGUAUGGUCACGUUUGUAUGUAAGGUAGUUAUAGCAACUAAUAAAAUAAUGUUUUCCUACUUUUUUGAUAGAUUUGGUCAGGUUGCGUUGACAUCAAAUUGCCCAGCUAUCAUUUAUACUAAACAAUCAAAUAGGAGCUUUUACAAACAUUGG
rnacentral:lncRNA from 1 species